rnacentral:lncRNA from 1 species
UUUGUUUUUCUUUUUCUUUCUUUCUUUUUUUUUUUUUUUUUUGGUUCUUUUUUUCGGAGCUGGGGACCGAACCCAGGGCCUUGCGCUUCCUAGGCAAGUGCUCUGCCACUGAGACAAAUCCCCAACCCCUUGUUUUUCUUUUUUAAAUUUAACUUUUCUUUUGUGUGUAGAGGUAUUUUGCCUGCAUGUCUGUGCAUUGUGUUGUGCUGUUCUUGCAGAGGUCAGAAGCAGGUAUCAUGGAACUGGAGUAACAGAUAGUUGUUGGAAAUCAAACCAAGGCCUUUUGCCAGAGCAGCCAGGGCAGCCAGUGCUCUUCACUGCUGAGAUCUUCUUUAGCAUCUGGCGCAGCCUUUAAUAGCCUCUUUCCUAAGUUUCAGUCCUUGGCAUAUGGACUAACUGACUGACUGACUGGCCUAUCUACCUAAAGUCCUGAUCCCCUCCAUUCCGAGUGCUGGGAUUACAGGCCAGACAGGCAUGGAGCCCUUGGUGCUCCUGUCUAGGUCUCCUGGGUGCCAGGUUUAAGGUGUGUGGGCCACUGUCCUGGUUCUAACUUCCCAAUUUUGUUUUACUUUUCUUAUUGACAGACUUUCUCAAAAUUACCUUUUCUUUUUACUCAAAUGAGGCGCCUUCUUAACCCACAAUCCAUCAAGAGCAUCCGUGUGAUAUGCUAGUUUACUUUUCUAAUUCACCUUAAAAUAAAAUCACCAGUGUUAGCAUUCUGCAGGUUUUUAUCUCCCUAUCUGACAUCUUCUGCUGGGCUGCCUGGUGGGAACUCCUGCUGUAGGAGUGCUGGUGACUGGGGGGUGUUUCAGGUAAACUACAUAGUGACUGAGGGAUGUCUCAGGUAAGCUGGCCUCUUUUCUCCUUAGGUCUCCAUUUUGUCAGCCAUGGAGCUUAUUUGGAACCUGUGCGAGAUUCUUUUCAUUGAAGUAGCUCCAGCUGGACCUCUCCUCCUCCAUCUUCUUGACUGGGUCCGACUGCACGUGUGCGAGGUGGACAGUUUGUCAGCAGAUGUCCUGGGCAGUGACCACCCAAGCAAGCAUGAGAGCUUCUGGAACUUGGUGAGUGUGCGGGACUGCAGUCGGCUGACUGGGAGGACCUGCUCCAGCUGCGGCUCAGCUCUCUGGGU